GAUGAACGCUGGCGGCGUGCCUAAUACAUGCAAGUCGAGCGAACGGACGGGAAGCUUGCUUUUCUGAUGUUAGCGGCGGACGGGUGAGUAACACGUGGAUAACCUACCUAUAAGACUGGGAUAACUUCGGGAAACCGGAGCUAAUACCGUAUAAUAUUUUGAACCGCAUGGUUCAAAAGUGAAAGACGGUCUUGCUGUCACUUAUAGAUGGAUCCGCGCUGCAUUAGCUAGUUGGUAAGGUAACGGCUUACCAAGGCAACGAUGCAUAGCCGACCUGAGAGGGUGAUAGGCCGCACUGGAGCUGGGACACCGUCCAGACUCCUACGGGAGGGAGCAGUAGGGAAUCUUCCGCAAUAGGCGAAAGCCUGACGGAGCAACGCCGCGUGAGUGAUGAAGGUCUUCGGAUCGUGAAACUCUGUUAUUAGGGAAGAACAUAUGUGUAAGGAACUGUACACACCUUGACGGUACCUAAUCAGAAAGCCACGGCUAACUACGUG
rnacentral:rRNA from 1 species